rnacentral:rRNA from 1 species
GGCGUGCCUUUUGCAGAAUGAACCGGCGAGUUACGAUUGCAUGCGAGGUUAAGCUGAAGAAGCGGAGCCGUAGCGAAAGCGAGUCUGAAUAGGGCGAGUGAGUAUGUAGUCGUAGACCCGAAACCAUGUGACCUACCCAUGUCCAGGUUGAAGGUGCGGUAAAACGCACUGGAGGACCGAACCCACGUACGUUGAAAAGUGCGGGGAUGAGGUGUGGGUAGCGGAGAAAUUCCAAACGAACUUGGAGAUAGCUGGUUCUCUCCGAAAUAGCUUUAGGGCUAGCCUCGGAAUUAAGAAUGAUGGAGGUAGAGCACUGUUUGGACUAGGGGCCCGUCUUGGGUUACCGAAUUCAGAUAAACUCCGAAUGCCAUUCAUUUAUGUCCGGGAGUCAGACAGUGAGUGAUAAGAUCCAUUGUCGAAAGGGAAACAGCCCAGACCACCAGCUAAGGUCCCAAAAUAUAUGUUAAGUGGAAAAGGAUGUGAGGGUGCACAAAC